GCUGGAUUCGCUAGUAAUCGCGCAUCAGCCAUGGCGCGGUGAAUACGUUCCCGGGCCUUGUACACACCGCCCGUCAAGCCAUGGGAGCCGGGGGUGCCUGAAGGCCGUGACCGCGAGGAGCGGCCUAGGGUAAAACUGGUGACUGGGGCUAAGUCGUAACAAGGUAGC
rnacentral:rRNA from 1 species